rnacentral:lncRNA from 13 species
AGGGCCUCGCCAAUCAGCUUGGACCUACUAAAGUGCUGAUAACUACCUUCCCUGCCUUCCAGUUUGCAACAAACACACUCUCUGGACUCAUUCCACAGGCGAGCUCUUUCCUCUUCUGAAGCUGUGUCCCUCACAGUUUGACAGCUGGGAUUUACGAGUGGAAUCCUACCUGAGAAAGCCCUGUUCUCAAGCAGGCUCAGCUGGAUCUUGCCCUGGGAUUUCCAAUCUGCCUCUGCUUUCCAGAACCCCUGAUGUCAUGUCUAAAACAACAAAAAUGAAAGAACAAAGGCUCAAAGAGAUUAAAUAAUAUGCAUAAAGUCAUACAACUGGCGUCAGGCUGAACCAGGGCUCACAGCAACAAGAAAGUAAUAUUCUUUCUGAAAAUAUACUCAAACAACCUUCAGACUCCCAAGGCCCUGUGUAGGAUUCAUGUAUGUCUACGAUAAUGCCACUGGAAGAAGACUGGGGAGUUUGAAGCUGAAGCCACUUUGUGAUCUUUACCAGUCCUUCAGGAUGAAAAGCUGGGCGCUAGCUUAGCCUCAGAAGAUAAAAACAGGUCUCUUUUAUUGAAAAUUCUCUAGUUCCUUUGAGUUACAAAGACCAUAGCCUAGGGAGAGAGCCUAAAUUUAGACUUCUCUUGUUUCCUUAAGGAAUAGACAGGAAUCUGCCAAGAUGUGUGUUCAUUGUCCAUUGAGAACUAAUGGGAAAUAAUGAAUCCACAUGUUUUGACAGAUGAGUAACAUGCUCAGAUUGAAAUACUAGAUUAGAC